UGGGGAAUAUUGCACAAUGGAGGGAACUCUGAUGCAGCGACGCCGCGUGAACGAAGAAGGCUUUCGAGUCGUAAAGUUCUUUUAUAUGGGAAGAUAAUGACGGUACCAUAAGAAAAAGCCCCGGCUAACUACGUGCCAGCAGCCGCGGUAAUACGUAGGGGGCUAGCGUUGUCCGGAAUCACUGGGCGUAAAGGGUUCGCAGGCGGAAAUGCAAGUCAGGUGUAAAAGGCAGUAGCUUAACUACUGUAAGCAUUUGAAACUGCAUAUCUUGAGAAGAGUAGAGGUAAGUGGAAUUUUUAGUGUAGCGGUAAAAUGCGUAGAUAUUAAAAAGAAUACCGGUGGCGAAGGCGACUUACUGGGCUCAUUCUGACGCUGAGGAACGAAAGCGUGGGUAGCAAACAGG
rnacentral:rRNA from 1 species